rnacentral:rRNA from 1 species
CCUACGGGAGGCUGCAGUAGGGAAUCUUUCACAAUGGGCGAAAGCCUGAUGGAGCAACGCCGCGUGCAGGAUGAAGGCCUUCGGGUUGUAAACUGCUUUUAUAAGCGAGAAAUAUGAUGGUAACUUAUGAAUAAGGCUCGGCUAACUACGUGCCAGCAGCCGCGGUCAUACGUAGGAUCCGAGCAUUAUCCGGGGUGACUGGGUGUAAAGAGUUGCGUAGGUGGCAUAAUAAGUAGCUAGUGAAAUCUGGUGGCUCAACCAUUCAGACUAUUAGCUAAACUGUUAAGCUCGAGACCGUUAGGGGUAACUGGAAGUUCUAGUGUAGGAGUGAAAUCCGUAGAUAUUAGAAGGAACACCAAUAGCGUAGGCAGGUUGCUGGGACGGUUCUGACACUAAGGCACGAAAGCGUAGGGAGCAAACGGGAUUAGAUACCCGAGUAGUC